rnacentral:lncRNA from 1 species
GUAAGUCCACUUUGUUCCGGGUUGCAUUCUGUCCUAUCUGCUUCCUAUUUGCAAGCUUGCCUUUACAUCCCUGCAAUCCCUGGCACAAGUCCUUGUUUUUAUUAGCUUCUGAACAAAUUCUGGGGUCUUGAUGUUCUCUUUGAGUCUGACAUGAAAGCCCCCUAAGUUAGUUUUCUUGAGUUAGGGACUUGCUCCAAUCACUUGGGAUUUUUUUUCUAAUCUGUAACAGUUACACUAAUCGGAUUUAAAACUGACUGAACACUUUUAUUAUAGCCUGCCAGAG